UUAUUUUUUCGUACCACGGCGAGGCCGGAUUCCUGUUUUAUCAUGAAUAUUCAUUAGGCAGGGUCGGGGAAAGUCUCGAUUCUCUUAAAUAUUCAUAUCGAGGUGGGAAUGCACGACGCGCGCUAUACUCGCACAAAGUGAGAAGAUUUAGUUCACGGAGAAUGCAUAUGGAUUGAAACUGAAGAGCUGGAAGGAGGACAUUACAACAUCUCUUAUAUUUGCAAGAUGAAGCAGAAAGUCCCAUGCAGGAUGAUGCCUCUCUACAGUGGAUGAUGAAGGCAUUCUGGUUUGCAAACUCAGGAGAGGAACAAAGAACGGAUGUUGACGGGAUCAUAUCUAGAGAUGCGGGCCUACUACACUUCAUACGAGCAAGUGUGCUAAUAUACAUGAAGACUUGGGUUAUAUUUUUUUCUGAAAACUAGGCUACAACUUUAGUGAUGGAUGCAGAAGAUAUCUACACGAGACUACGUCUUAAAGAUGCCACCCUCAUAUAAUGAAAGAGGACAAUAGAGAUGGGUUUAAACUGGAAUAUUUACAUGAUAUUUAUUUGUUAUUUGUAUUAUA